UUGUUUUUAUAGUUGAAAUACAACGGUGACUUUUCGUGUCACAGGUCUCGGGUAAGUGUCCGGGUAAAA
rnacentral:tRNA from 1 species